UGUAGUCUUUUCGCUCAGUUCUAGCCCUACUGUUGAUACGGAGAACCGAGCGGAAAGACUACAACCAAACAAAAACAGCCCAUUUCCGUUUUCAGUUCGGUUUUCGUUUCAAUGGGAUUUAUUAAACGCCAAAUAAAACACGACAGAAGCUGUAUUUCGCUACGAUACUUGAUUAGGAACAUCAACGAACACCACUAACCACUCGGGAAUCCAGAGGACUUCUGUCGGGUGUGCUCCUUUGCCGAAGAAAAUGCAGAUGGGAGCAUGAUUGAAAAGGUGCAUUGUGGAUUGUGCAGUAGGCGGGCACAUUUUGAGUGUGCCCAAUAUGCCCAUGAAAAUAAGACUGUAUAUAUUUGCAAGAAAUGCCUUAAAAUAAAAUAAAGAUUUGAGAUCUUUUGGUUGUUUUUAUUAUUGGUAGUUUUGAAUAAUUAUUAUCUAUUGCAUAUAUAAACACACAGAAUCCCAUUCACAAAUAUAUACAAGUUUUAACAAUACUUU
ensembl:lncRNA